GUCAAAGGAAGCCUGUUUUCCCUCCCUUCAUCGUAUUCCUCACAAUCCAAAGGACCGUGCAAAGAAUUAAUUUUGCUAGUUUCUCACCAUCUUGUGCAAAACAAUUUUAAUUUCACUAAAUCAUUCAACGAAGACAACCAACAGCAACUUGUUUACGGCAAACUUAUCUUGGAUCUACGGAGAAGGGAAUUGAAUCUAGAUCUAAAUUGAUUCCACUACGAAUAAAAAUUGAUUCUACUCGGAAGAGGUUCAGCAACAUUAAAACGUACAAAACUGA